rnacentral:rRNA from 1 species
CCUGCGGAGGGAUCAUUACAGAGAAACUCGCCCGCAAGGGUGACUCUCCAACCCUAUGUUAAUUAUACCUUUGUUGCUUUGGCGAGCCGCCUCGGCCACCGGCUCACGCUGGUGAGUGCUCGCCAGAGGACCCUAAACUCUGUUUAUACAUGUCGUCUGAGUACUAUAUAAUAGUUAAAACUUUCAACAACGGAUCUCUUGGUUCUGGCAUCGAUGAAGAACGCAGCGAAAUGCGAUAAGUAAUGUGAAUUGCAGAAUUCAGUGAAUCAUCGAAUCUUUGAACGCACAUUGCGCCCUGUGGUAUUCCGCAGGGCAUGCCUGUUCGAGCGUCAGUACAACACUCAAGCCUAGCUUGGUCUUGGGCCUCGCCGGAAACGGCGGGCCUUAAAAUUAGUGGCGGCGCCUGUUAGGCCCUAAGCGUAGUAAUACUCCUCGCUAUAGGGACCCGGCAGGUGCUGGCCAGUAACCCUCAACUUUCUAAGUUUGACCUCGGAUCAGGUAGGGAUACCCGCUGAACUUAAGCAUAUCA